UACGAAGGGGGCUAGCGUUGUUCGGAAUCACUGGGCGUAAAGCGUACGUAGGCGGAUUGCUAAGUCAGGGGUGAAAUCCCGAGGCUCAACCUCGGAACUGCCUUUGAUACUGGCUGUCUUGAGUCCGGGAGAGGUGAGUGGAACUCCUAGUGUAGAGGUGAAAUUCGUAGAUAUUAGGAAGAACACCAGUGGCGAAGGCGGCUCACUGGCCCGGAACUGACGCUGAUGUACGAAAGCGUGGGGAGCAAACAGG
rnacentral:rRNA from 1 species